GAGGGUAGAGCUCAGUGGUGGAGCGCGUGCUUAGCAUGCACAAAGUCCUGGGUUCAGUCCCCAGUACCUCCA
rnacentral:tRNA from 1 species